rnacentral:piRNA from 1 species
UGGACUUGGCGUGAUCAUUGAAGUGA